rnacentral:tRNA from 1 species
GGGGGUGUGGCUUAAGUGGUAGAGCACCUGCCUAGCAAGUAUGUGACCCUGAGUUCAAAACCCCAGUAUUGCCA